UACGUAGGGUGCAAGCGUUGUCCGGAAUUAUUGGGCGUAAAGAGCUCGUAGGCGGUCUGUCGCGUCUGCUGUGAAAACUGGGGGCUCAACCCCCAGCCUGCAGUGGGUACGGGCAGACUAGAGUGCGGUAGGGGAGAUUGGAAUUCCUGGUGUAGCGGUGGAAUGCGCAGAUAUCAGGAGGAACACCGAUGGCGAAGGCAGAUCUCUGGGCCGUAACUGACGCUGAGGAGCGAAAGCAUGGGGAGCGAACAGG
rnacentral:rRNA from 1 species